rnacentral:misc_RNA from 1 species
GCCGCUCACUUUGUUUACUAUCUUAAUCUGGUGAAAUUGAUUCAAAAACUUACACAUAUGAAUAGUAAAUGAAGGACACUUUCUACUGAAUAUUCAACACCUUCGUACUUGAGGAAACACUUUAGUCUUGGAUACUUAAGGAAACACAUGAGUCCUCCCAUGUCCAACACUUAUAGACAAUAACAUAAAAAAAAAUGCAAAAUAAAAUAAAAACAUAAUAACAAUUAUUAAAUAGAAUCCCCAAAAUCAACCUAGUAGUGGCAAGUAAAACAGUAUGCUUAAAGAGUCCAACUGUCUAAAGCAAAAGCAAAGAAAAUAAAAUCAUAGCAGAAAGGUUGAUCAC